UUGGAGGGCAAGUCUGGUGCCAGCAGCCGCGGUAAUUCCAGCUCCAAUAGCGUAUACUAAAGUUGUUGCAGUUAAAAAGCUCGUAGUUGAAUUUCGGGGUUCUACCGUUGGUCGGGCUUUGUCUGUACUGGUGUGUAGAAUUUCUACCUUCUGGGGAACCAUCAUGCUAUUAAUUUAGCGUGGUGGGAAACCAGGACCUUUACCUUGAAAAAAUUAGUGUGUUCAAAGCAGGCUUAUGUCUGAAUACAUUAGCGUGGAAUAAUAGAAUAGGACGGUGGUCCUGUUUUGUUGGUUUCUGAAUCACCGUAAUGAUUAAUAGGGAUAGUUGGGGGCAUUAGUAUCCAAUUGUCAGAGGCGAAAUUCUUGGAUUUAUUGAAGACUAACUUCUGCGAAAGCAUUUGCCAAGGAUGUUUUCAUUAAUCAAGAACGAAAGUUAGGGGAUCGAAGACGAUCAGAUACCGUCGUAGUCUUAACCAUAAACUAUGCCGACUAGGGAUCGGACGAUGUUAAUUUUUCUUGACUCGUUCGGCGCCUUACGGGAAAC
rnacentral:rRNA from 1 species